rnacentral:rRNA from 1 species
GACGAACGCUGGCGGCGUGCUUAACACAUGCAAGUCGAACGAAGAGCGAUGGAAGCUUGCUUCUAUCAAUCUUAGUGGCGAACGGGUGAGUAACGCGUAAUCAACCUGCCCUUCAGAGGGGGACAACAGUUGGAAACGACUGCUAAUACCGCAUACGAUCCAACCUCGGCAUCGAGGAUGGAUGAAAGGUGGCCUCUAUUUAUAAGCUAUCACUGAAGGAGGGGAUUGCGUCUGAUUAGCUAGUUGGAGGGGUAACGGCCCACCAAGGCAAUGAUCAGUAGCCGGUCUGAGAGGAUGAACGGCCACAUUGGGACUGAGACACGGCCCAGACUCCUACGGGAGGCAGCAGUGGGGAAUCUUCCGCAAUGGACGAAAGUCUGACGGAGCAACGCCGCGUGAGUGAUGACGGCCUUCGGGUUGUAAAGCUCUGUUAAUCGGGACGAAAGGUCCUCUUGCGAAUAGUUAGAGGAAUGACGUACCGGAAUA